rnacentral:rRNA from 1 species
UACAGGGGGGGCAAGCGUUGUUCGGAAUUACUGGGCGUAAAGCGUGCGCAGGCGGUUCGCUAAGACAGAUGUGAAAUCCCCGGGCUUAACCUGGGAACUGCAUUUGUGACUGGCGGGCUAGAGUAUGGCAGAGGGGGGUAGAAUUCCACGUGUAGCAGUGAAAUGCGUAGAGAUGUGGAGGAAUACCGAUGGCGAAGGCAGCCCCCUGGGCCAAUACUGACGCUCAUGCACGAAAGCGUGGGGAGCAAACAGG